rnacentral:rRNA from 1 species
AGCGAACGCUGGCGGCGUGCCUAACACAUGCAAGUCGAACGCGAAAGGGGGGGCAACUCCCCUAGUAGAGUGGCGCUCGGGUGAGUAACGCGUGGGUAAUCUGCCCUUGAGUGGGGAAUAACCUCGCGAAAGCGGGGCUAAUACCGCAUAACAUCCGCCGGCCUUCGGGCUGGCGCAUCAAAGAUGACCUCUACAUGUAAGUUGUCGCUCGAGGAGGAGCCCGCGUCCCAUUAGCUAGUUGGUAGGGUAACGGCCUACCAAGGCGACGAUGGGUAGCCGGCCUGAGAGGGUGACCGGCCACACUGGAACUGAGACACGGUCCAGACUCCUACGGGAGGCAGCAGUGAGGAAUAUUGCGCAAUGGGCGAAAGCCUGACGCAGCGACGCCGCGUGGAGGAUGAAGGCCUUCGGGUCGUAAACUCCUGUCGAGGGGGAAGAAAUGGGGCCUUGUGAAUAGCAGGGUCUCUUGACGGUACCCCUGGAGGAAGCCCCGGCUAACUCCGUGCCAGCCGCCGCCGUAAGAC